CUCUGACACAGGAAACUGACACUUAAUAUAAAACUGACAACAGUGGGAACUUCUCCUUCAGAUUGGAGAUGAGCUGAAGGAGUGAGCCGUGGAGAGCUCUUCUCCUCCCUCUGUCGUUGUCUUUCUCUCCUCUUCUCCUCCCUCUCUCAUGGAGCUCCGGGCUGUGGAGAGUGAUUGACAGCUCCUGCUGAGGAUGAGUGGGCCCUCGUGUCAGCCAGACGGCCCCUUGCGGUUACCAUGCCACUGUCGAACCUGGCGGCUUAGACGAGAACAGCUGUAUUAUCAAAGAACAGGGAAAAAGCGCAGAACUGCAAACACAUCAAUGACGAGACGUGAUGUAAAGUGCUGCUCAAAAGUUUUUAAUUAAUAAUCUGUGAUAUUUUAUACAAGCCUCAUGUUUCUGCCUACACCUGCGCAUACACACAAAUGCACAAAUAUAAACGCUGACAAUGGCAUAGACCACUUGUGCAGGCUAUGCCAUAGACUCUGUGAUUACACAACUCGGUUUAAUUCAGACUUGAUUUGAGAAUAUUUGUGAAAAAAAUGUGUCAUUCUUAUUUGAUUUUUAUUUAGUAGAAUCAUCAUGCUUGUUGUAUUUAAAGUCUGCA
rnacentral:lncRNA from 1 species